UACGAAGGGGGCUAGCGUUGCUCGGAAUUACUGGGCGUAAAGGGCGCGUAGGCGGACAGUUUAGUCAGAGGUGAAAGCCCAGGGCUCAACCUUGGAACUGCCUUUGAUACUGGCUGUCUUGAGUUCGGGAGAGGUGAGUGGAACUCCGAGUGUAGAGGUGAAAUUCGUAGAUAUUCGGAAGAACACCAGUGGCGAAGGCGGCUCACUGGCCCGGUACUGACGCUGAGGUGCGAAAGCGUGGGGAGCAAACAGG
rnacentral:rRNA from 1 species